UGAAUGAGUCUCACGAGAUCUGAUGGUUUUACAAGGAGAAACUCCUUUCGCUUGGCUCUCUUUCUUUGCCUGCCACCAUCCAUGUAAGAUGUGACUUGUUCCUCCCUGCCCUCCACCAUGAUCGUGAGGCUUCCCCCACCACGUGGAACUACUAUUAAUUUUUAAAAAAUUACGGGAGCCAGCAAAAGUUGAAGGAGAGAGUUACCAUCCCAGGCCUUUUCAAAAGAGGGAAAGCUCUGAGGCAAGCAGGAUGCAGCAGAAGUGGAACCCCUAGGAUGUCCAUCUGAAGAAUUUCAAGAAGAGAUUAUGGAAUUCAAAAAUAAAAAACUUCUUGCAAUUUCACUGAGUACAUCAGUAUUUUAAGAAAAUCUUGUUCUAACCAAUGAUCUCCUUUUGCAUUACUGUAUUUUUAUUAUUGAAGUCCAAUACCUAGAAUGAUUAUAAUUUCCUUUUAGUUAUAGCAAACUUAAUUACAUAAAAAUUUUUUUGAAUUCCUUUUUUACAGACUGUAUUAUGACUUGCACAGACCAUAUACAACCUGCUUGGAUUUUCUGUUCUGUCCUAAACAUCUCUCUUAAACAACAAGAUUCUUUCUCAUACAAAAUUAUUUUUCUUUUAACAUUUCUUACCAAAAAUACCUCCUUGUAACUUUCUUCUUCUUUUUUUUUGAGAUGGAGUAGUCUCGCUCUGUCACCCAGCCUGGA
rnacentral:lncRNA from 1 species